GACGAACGCUGGCUGCGUGCUUAACACAUGCAAGUCGAACGCUGAAACCCUGGUGCUUGCACCGGGGUGGAUGAGUGGCGAACGGGUGAGUAACACGCGAGUAACCUGCCCCCGACUUCGGGAUAAGCCCGGGCAACUGGGUCUAAUACCGGAUAUGAGCGCCCCUCGCAUGAGGGAUGCUGGAAAGUCUUUUCGGGUGGGGAUGGGCGCGCGGCCUAUCAGGUUGUUGGUGAGGUAAUGGCUCACCAAGACGACGACGGGUAGCCGGCCUGAGAGGGCGACCGGCCACACUGGGACUGAGACACGGCCCAGACUCCUACGGGAGGCAGCAGUGAGGAAUAUUGCACAAUGGGGGAAACCCUGAUGCAGCGACGCAGCGUGCGGGAUGACGGCCUUCGGGUUGUAAACCGCUUUCAGCAGGGAAGAAGCCCCUUGGGGUGACGGUACCUGCAGAAGAAGUACCGGCUAACUACGUGCCAGCCGCCGCCGUAA
rnacentral:rRNA from 1 species